rnacentral:rRNA from 1 species
CAGUUAAAAAGCUCGUAGUUGGAUUUCGGAACCGGCCGAUUGGUCCGUCCUCUGGAUCGUGUACUGAUCGGUCUGUUCUUCUUCGCGAAGACCGCGUGUGCUCUUAACUGAGUGGGCGUGGGAUUCGCGACGUUUACUUUGAAAAAAUUAGAGUGUUCAAAGCAGGCAGUCGCUUGAAUAUCUCAGCAUGGAAUAAUAGAAUAGGACUUUGGUCUUAUUUUGUUGGUUUCCGAGACCGAAGUAAUGAUUAAUAGGGACAGUUGGGGGCAUUCGUAUUUCAUUGUCAGAGGUGAAAUUCUUGGAUUUAUGAAAGACGAACUUCUGCGAAAGCAUUUGCCAAGGAUGUUUUCAUUAAUCAAGAACGAAAGUUGGAGGCCCGAAGACGAUCAGAUACCGUCCUAGUUCCAACCAUAAACGAUGCCGUCUGCGGAUCGGAGGUCGCUCAUGUAAGGCUCCUUCGGCACGCUAUGAGAAAUCAAAGACUUCGGGUUCCGGGGGGAGUAUGUUCGCAAGAAUGAAACUUAAAGGAAUUGACGGAAGGGCACCACCA